GGUAACAUUUCUAGCUUGCUAGAAGAUGACGAGUGGCGGACGGGUGAGUAAUGCUUGGGAACUUGCCUUUGCGAGGGGGAUAACAGUUGGAAACGACUGCUAAUACCGCAUAAUGUCUUCGGACCAAACGGGGCUUCGGCUCCGGCGCAAAGAGAGGCCCAAGUGAGAUUAGCUAGUUGGUAAGGUAACGGCUUACCAAGGCGACGAUCUCUAGCUGUUCUGAGAGGAAGAUCAGCCACACUGGGACUGAGACACGGCCCAGACUCCUACGGGAGGCAGCAGUGGGGAAUAUUGCACAAUGGGGGAAACCCUGAUGCAGCCAUGCCGCGUGUGUGAAGAAGGCCUUCGGGUUGUAAAGCACUUUCAGUUGUGAGGAAAAGUUAGUAGUUAAUACCUGCUAGCCGUGACGUUAACAACAGAAGAAGCACCGGCUAACUCCGUGCCAGCAGCCGCGGUAAUACGGAGGGUGCGAGCGUUAAUCGGAAUUACUGGGCGUAAAGCGCACGCAGGCGGUUUGUUAAGCUAGAUGUGAAAGCCCCGGGCUCAACCUGGGAUGGUCAUUUAGAACUGGCAGACUAGAGUCCUGGAGAGGGGAGUGGAAUUCCAGGUGUAGCGGUGAAAUGCGUAGAUAUCUGGAGGAACAUCAGUGGCGAAGGCGACUCCCUGGCCAAAGACUGACGCUCAUGUGCGAAAGUGUGGGUAGCGAACAGGAUUAGAUACCCCUGGUAGUCCACACCGUAAACGCUGUCUACUAGCUGUGUGUGCCUUUAAGGCGUGCGUAGCGAAGCUAACGCGCUAAGUAGAUCGCCUGGGGAGUACGG
rnacentral:rRNA from 1 species